AUGUACAUUCCUACAAUGUUAAUUCAUUGGAUCCCAUUAGAAAUAUGCAGUUAAGCAUGCUUUAGAUAGAGUAGUACUGGGAUGGGUGACCUCUCAGGAAGUCCUAGUGUUUUAUAUG
rnacentral:rRNA from 1 species